GGUUCGGUGAACCUUCUAGAAGGUUCCCAAAACCAGAAAAAGCGGCUGGGAAACUCUAGAAUGUUCCCAAAACUGGAAUCGCGGCAACGCUUUAAUGGGCCGGCCCAAGUCAUCGCUCGAACACCAGGUCUCUGUGCGAAAAGUCGACACUUUGACGCAACGUGCGUCCAAUAGGGAAUUCCGGCGGCAGACCCAGUACAGGCGGCUGGCGUGCGUAGCUUGGCAGGCCACGCGGAGGUCAGACAGGGCGCUAGUGCAGGGCAGGCAACGCCCAUGUUUGGCUGGCGCUGUAGAGCAGCGGUCCGGGCAAGCAGCCCAUCUGGCAAGCUGGCCCAGGUGGGGCUAGCCGCACCACACUAGUGGAAAAAUGGCUAGCCACAAGUUCCGUUUGUGGCACGCCAUUUCUCAUCAACACGAGCACUAUUUUUUCCAAAUAGUGCUGGCGCAUGCCAAAUUGGUACACCAGCUAUAAGCUGCUAUUGCUGACGCUGGCAAUACAUCCUGCGCCACUACUAUGUGGGCCCAGUUGUCGUGACCAGUUGCAGCAUAUUGCUGUCGUUUGAUUUAUAAACACGCCCUAGAUACUUUACAUUGUGGUGUCGUGUCUUUGCCCGGAACGCCAACACUAAGUUGUGCCUAUAUAUAUAUGUGUGUUGGCCCUUCUUAUCACAUUCACUUCCAUUCUCUACAAAAUUCUACUCCCUCUUAGUUAGCUGCUUUGGUAACAAUGGACCCACCGGAGCUUGCCGAAUCGGCACGAGCCGCCAGUUCGAGCCCACGUCAGCGUGGCUCACAAGUUUGGGACUCCGCCGCCUUGGCUGAGCUCUCAUCUCGCCCGGUUGGCCAUGACAUGCGCUCUCCACGGCCAAUGCAGCCAGCCCUGUCUGGCGAACCAUCCCGCUGCAGCGGGACGUCCCUUCGACGAUUCGGCAGCUAUGCCACCGGCGCCGAAGCUGCCAGGAAUCGAGCGAGGGCACCUGUGUUGCUUUUUAGCGGUUGUGGACGACCUGCUGAUAAGCAUAUGUCGCACACACAAAGUAAUACAGAGCAAGAGUUCUACAACUGCGGUAAUCGUGGAAAGGUGUUAGGGACAAAAUAUUGCUACACAUGGAUAUGGGUUGAUCUCGUGCAGAAGUACGUGAGCGAGUUGUUCUAGUACUCCAUUGGUGAACUAAGGCAACAGUUAGAUGAGAUGCAGCUGAAGACUAAUGUGAUGCGCGGCCAAAUCCAAAAAUUCAAGAUGCUUCAGUAUUCCCUUUUAGUAAAUGGAUGCCCCAUGUGAGACCUAUGGUUCGGUGAGAUGCCAAAGGGAUAAGAAGUUCUUCAUAGAUCUGCCGAACGACUUCCUCACUAGGAUGGUAUGUUUUAGUUUGAACAUGUUUUGAUUGAGUUUCAUGCAUGACAAGACAAUUGUGUAACUAGCUAGCUACUUCUUUCUUUCAAUUUUGCUAAGGUCAUCCCUUGCGGGGCAAGGCGUGACUUCUUAGAGAACUUUAAAGUUCUAGUUGAUGCCACCAUCACAUUUCAGUGCACCCUCAUGAAGAUGCUGACGACCCAAAAAUUCAAUUGUCUUGUCACCAACGAUGCAAACCACACCUACUUCGGUUGCCCUGGUUGGAAAGCCCUUGCAGAUGCUUACGAGAUGGAAGCUGGGGAGAGAGCCACGUUCUACCUCAACUACGAUCGUGACGAGAUCAUGGUCUACAACAAGCCUGCUGACAGCGAUGAUGGUGCACUUACUCCGGACUAUGACCCUGACUCCGCCCGCCGAAAAGUCGUAGUAAGCUAGUUGGCUUGCAUGGAAGAUAUAUAUCAUGUUAUUAUCACCUCUAUUUAUUUGAACUUGUACAUUCAUAUGUGUGCUACUUUGCCUACUUUGUUGAACUAUAUCAACAAGUGCAUUGUUGAACUUAAAUGCUGUCAUUGGGACUAUUUAUAUAUAGUUGAUUUAGUGACUAUUCUGAAACUA